rnacentral:rRNA from 1 species
UAACAGAAMUUAUUGUUAGUAAAGCCUGCUCAAUGUACAAUAAAUAGCCGCAGGACCUCUGUGCUAAGGUAGCAUAAUAAUUUGCCUUUUAAUUAAAGGCUAGCAUGAAAGGUAUCACAUAUUGAUAACUUUAUUAAUCUAAAAAUUUUAAAUUAACCUUUUAGUAAAAAGGCUAAAAUAAAGUAGCAGGACGACAAGACCCUGACAAACUUUACAUUUAUGUUGUGCUGGGGGGGCAAAAAAACACUAUCUUUUUAAAGACAAAAAACAGAAAAAUUCUAUCAUUCAUACAAGUUACUGCAGGGAUAACAGCAUAAUUCCUUCUUAGAGACCUCAUUGAAGAAAGAGAUUGUGACCUCGAUGUUGAAUUAGGUAUCUAUAAAGAGCAAAAUCUUUACAAGUAAGUCUGUUCGACUUUUAAUAACCUACAUGAUUUGAGUUCAGACCGGCGUGAGCCAGGUCGGUUUCUAUCCUCUUUACAAAAUUCUUAGUACGAAAGGACCAGAGUUUUAAUUAUUAAUUUC